UACUCCACAAGUUAUGUUCUUGUAAGUUGAUAUAUGUUCACCUAUUUCGACAAAUAGUUGCCUGUUUCUUAAAUAGCUUCUCACCCAAUCCAAUCCAACCCCUCUGAUGCCAUACCUAUCCAGUUUCAUGAGUAAAAUUAUUUUUUUCAACAGUCCA